rnacentral:snRNA from 1 species
AAGUGUCACAGCUCUUUUAGAAUUUGUCCAGCAGGUUUUCUGGCUUGUGCCGGAAAACCCAC